GGACUUGUGCUCGUCCGAUCUGCGGUACCAAAUCGAGGCAAAUUUUGAAUACUAGAUAUGACCCCAAAAUAACAGGGGUCAAGGUCGGCCAGUGAGACGAUGGGGGAUAAGCUUCAUCGUCGAGAGGGAAAGAGCCCGGAUCACCAGCUAAGGCCCCUAAAUGACUGCUUAGUGAUAAAGGACGUGGGGGG